rnacentral:misc_RNA from 1 species
GAUGAAGAACGUAGCGAAAUGCGAUAAGUAAUGUGAAUUGCAGAAUUCAGUGAAUCAUCGAAUCUUUGAACGCACAUUGCGCCCCCUGGCAUUCCGGGGGGCAUGCCUGUUCGAGCGUCAUUACAACCCUCAAGCUCUGCUUGGUAUUGGGCUCUGCUGGGACCGGCAGGCCUUAAAAUCAGUGGCGGCGCCACUCGGCUUCAAGCGUAGUAAUUCUUCUCGCUAUGGAGUCCUGGUGGAUGCUUGCCAUCAACCCCCAAUUUUUCUAUGGUUGACCUCGGAUCAGGUAGGGAUACCCGCUGAACUUAAGCAUAUCAAUAAGCGGAGGA